GGGGAAUUUUCCGCAAUGGGCGAAAGCCUGACGGAGCAAUACCGCGUGAGGGAGGAAGGCUCUUGGGUCGUAAACCUCUUUUCUCAGGGAAGAACACAAUGACGGUACCUGAGGAAUAAGCAUCGGCUAACUCCGUGCCAGCAGCCGCGGUAAUACGGAGGAUGCAAGCGUUAUCCGGAAUGAUUGGGCGUAAAGCGUCCGCAGGUGGCUGUGUAAGUCUGCUGUUAAAGAGUCUAGCUCAACUAGAUAAAAGCAGUGGAAACUACAUAGCUAGAGUACGUUCGGGGCAGAGGGAAUUCCUGGUGUAGCGGUGAAAUGCGUAGAGAUCAGGAAGAACACCAGUGGCGAAGGCGCUCUGCUAGGCCGUAACUGACACUGAGGGACGAAAGCUAGGGGAGCGAAUGGGAUUAGAUACCCCAGUAGUCA
rnacentral:rRNA from 1 species